rnacentral:rRNA from 1 species
CCUGGCGGCCAUAGCGAGUGGGAACCACCCGAUCCCUUUUCGAACUCGGAAGUGAAAACGCUCUGCGCCGAUGAUAGUUUCGGCUUUGUCGAUGCGAAAGUAGGUCACUGCCAGGC